AUUGAACGCUGGCGGCAGGCCUAACACAUGCAAGUCGAGCGGAUGAAGGGAGCUUGCUCCUGGAUUCAGCGGCGGACGGGUGAGUAAUGCCUAGGAAUCUGCCUGGUUGGGGAUAACGUCCGGAAACGGGCGCUAAUACCGCAUACGUCCUGAGGGAGAAAGUGGGGGAUCUUCGGACCUCACGCUAUCAGAUGAGCCUAGGUCGGAUUAGCUAGUUGGUGGGGUAAAGGCCUACCAAGGCGACGAUCCGUAACUGGUCUGAGAGGAUGAUCAGUCACACUGGAACUGAGACACGGUCCAGACUCCUACGGGAGGCAGCAGUGGGGAAUAUUGGACAAUGGGCGAAAGCCUGAUCCAGCCAUGCCGCGUGUGUGAAGAAGGUCUUCGGAUUGUAAAGCACUUUAAGUUGGGAGGAAGGGCAGUAAGUUAAUACCUUGCUGUUUUGACGUUACCAACAGAAUAAGCACCGGCUAACUUCGUG
rnacentral:rRNA from 1 species